AUACGUAGGGGGCGAGCGUUGUCCGGAAUGACUGGGCGUAAAGGGCGUGUAGGCGGUCUUGCAAGUCAGAAGUGAAAUUCCUGAGCUCAACUCGGGCGCUGCUUCUGAACCUGCAGGACUUGAGUGCUGGAGGGGAUAGCGGAAUUCCUAGUGGAGCGGUAAAAUGCGCAGAUAUUAGGAAGAACACCGGUGGCGAAGGCGGCUAUCUGGACAGUAACUGACGCUGAGGCGCGAAAGCGUGGGGAGAAAACAGGAUUAGAUACCCGGGUAGUCCACGCCGUAAACGAUGAAUACUAGGUGUAGGGGGUAUCGACUCCCUCUGUGCCGCAGUUAACACAAUAAGUAUUCCGCCUGGGGAGUACGGCCGCAAGGUUGAAACUCAAAUGAAUUGGCGGGG
rnacentral:rRNA from 1 species